rnacentral:lncRNA from 1 species
GACUGAGCACUGCGGGUUGCGGCUACCCGGGCGUGGCCCGGACCUCGGCCUCCCCUUCCCCGCACACUCCCGAGAGGAGCCCUCUACCUUGGGGUGGGCAGGAGGGAAGGCGGGGGGUGGCGGCUGGCAAGCUGCCAACACUCGGGGCGCGCUGCGGCGGGGAAGGGGUUGGCGCGGCCGGGCAGCUGCGCAGGGCUGCGCGGCGGAGGCAGCGAUUAAAAUGUCCCGGCGCCUCUCCCGAGAGCCGCGACGGCCCGGAGCCGGGAGGGAAAGCUCCACGCACAAACACCGCCCCCUGCACAAUUAGGGCGAAGAUGACGGCUGCAAAGUUGUUGCGUAACACGACUGGGAAACGAGGCUCGCUGAGGUCCAUCUACCCACCCCCGCCACGCGGGUGCGGCGUUCCUCGGAGGAUGUGAAGGUCCGCGCUCGGGUGCCCCCGCUGGGACGCCCACUGUCGUUUGGUGCUGGGGCUUGAGACGACCGCGCGGGAUCUCUUCCUGUGAUUUUGAGCUGAUAGCUGCUUAGUGUUAUUUCUGCGUCUAACUGGAUACGGUAGUCUUCUCUCCCAAAUUCCCGGGCUACGGAAGAGACGUAAAAAAAUGGAAAAAAGAGCACCUAGCCGCGACUUCUUAAGUCGUCGCGCUAGACUGUCAAGGCACGUGGCACACUCCCUGCGUUUACCGAUACACGGAUAGUGGUCAGUGCUGGCCUUGGCGAAGGGAGCCAUGUUCCCGACAGUGACUCACAGGCUUGCCCAAAUACGGAGUGUGGCAGGUGGGCAGGACCUCCACCAGCCAGCUCCCUCCUGGUCUCCUUGAACUACGUGGGGGCUGGGCCGAGUGCCUCCACGACUUUCCACUUCUUUUUGCUCCUUUCGUUUUUAAAAAGCAAAAACCAAAGUAAAGAGAAGAGCAGAGUGAACACCCAGCUGCAGAAUGUCUUGAGCUGGAACAUCCCCAAGAGGCCAUAUAUAUAUCCCAGGGAUUUUACAGUGGACCUCACUAGGCCGGAGUAACUGUAAAGUCAGAUGGAUAAUGAGAAUUCAGGACGUUAGCCACACGUGGACUGUGGCAAAAAGAAAGUGACCCACUGAAGAAGACUGUUUUUCAGCUCUCUCAUCAAUUGCUGUUUCCAGGAGCCCACAGCUCCAAUUACUCAAAAGAACGUUGACUUUUUUUUUUUUGGUAAAAUAUCCUGAUUUUCAGGUUAGGCAAGCAAUUCAUUAAAAAAUAAAAGACUGCACAGC